rnacentral:rRNA from 1 species
AAUAGAUACCCUGGUAGUCCACGCCGUAAACGAUGUGUGCUAGACGUCGGAUGUUCCGCAUUCGGUGUCGCCGCUAACGCAUUAAGCACACCGCCUGGGGAGUACGGCCGCAAGGUUAAAACUCAAAGGAAUUGACGGGGGGCCCGCACAAGCGGCGGAGCAUGUGGUUUAAUUCGACGCAACGCGCAGAACCUUACCAGCCCUUGACAUCCCGGUCGCGGGGACCAGAGACGGUCUCCUUCAGUUCGGCUGGACCGGAGACAGGUGCUGCAUGGCUGUCGUCAGCUCGUGUCGUGAGAUGUUGGGUUAAGUCCCGCAACGAGCGCAACCCUCAUCCUUAGUUGCCAUCAUUUGGUUGGGCACUCUAAGGAAACUGCCGGUGACAAGCCGGAGGAAGGCGGGGAUGACGUCAAGUCCUCAUGGCCCUUAUGGGCUGGGCUACACACGUGCUACAAUGGCGGUGACAAUGGGCGGCGAGCCUGCAAAGGUCAGCAAAUCCCCAAAAGCCGUCUCAGUUCGGAUUGUCC